AACGAACGCUGGCGGCAUGCCUAACACAUGCAAGUCGAACGAUGCCUUCGGGCAUAGUGGCGCACGGGUGCGUAACGCGUGGGAAUCUGCCUUUCGGUUCGGAAUAACUCAGGGAAACUUGAGCUAAUACCGGAUAACGUCGCAAGACCAAAGAUUUAUCACCGAAAGAUGAGCCCGCGUAGGAUUAGCUAGUUGGUGAGGUAAAGGCUCACCAAGGCGACGAUCCUUAGCUGGUCUGAGAGGAUGAUCAGCCACACUGGGACUGAGACACGGCCCAGACUCCUACGGGAGGCAGCAGUGGGGAAUAUUGGACAAUGGGCGAAAGCCUGAUCCAGCAAUGCCGCGUGAGUGAUGAAGGCCUUAGGGUUGUAAAGCUCUUUUACCCGGGAAGAUAAUGACGGUACCGGGAGAAUAAGCCCCGGCUAACUACGUG
rnacentral:rRNA from 1 species